rnacentral:rRNA from 1 species
AAUGAACGCUGGCGGCAGGCCUAACACAUGCAAGUCGAGCGGAGCGGCGGACGGGUGAGUAAUGCCUAGGAAUCUGCCUGGUAGUGGGGGAUCACGUACAGAAACGGGCGCUAAUAACGCAUACUAUCAGAUGAGCCUAGGUCGGAUUAGCUAGUUGGUGGGGUAAAGGCUCACCUAGGCGACGAUCGCUAGCUGGUCUGAGAGGAUAGGCAGCCACACUGGGACUGAGCUACGGCCCAGACUCCUACGGUAGGCAGCAGUGGGGAAGAUUGAACAAUGGGCGCAAUCCUGAUGUAGCCAUGCCGAGUGUAUGAAGAAGGCCUUAGGGUUGUAGAGUACUUUCAGCGGGGAGGCGUUACCCGCAGAAGAAGCACCUGCUAACUCCGUGCCAGCAGCCGCGGUAAUAC